AUGUCUUCUUGGUUUAAGCUUAUAAGAAGUCUGGCCUGCCCAGUGAAAUUUUAACGGCCGCGGUACUCUGACCGUGCGAAGGUAGCAUAAUCAUUUGUCUUAUAAUUGAAGUCUAGAAUGAAUGGCUAAACAAGAAUAAAGCUGUCUCUAACAUUUUAAUAAAACUUUAUUAUUAGGUUAAAAAGCCUAAAUAGUAUUAAAAGACGAGAAGACCCUAUCGAGCUUUAGGAAUAAAUUAGGAUUUUUAACAUUUAAUGAAGUAUAAAAACCCAAUUUAACUUUGGUUGGGGCGACCUGAGAACAUAUAAAGCUUCUCAUAUUUAAUAAAACUUGUUGGUUUAGAUCCACUACUAGUGACCAAAAGAAUUAGUUACCGUAGGGAUAACAGCAUAAUCUCUUUUGAGAGCUCAUAUCGAAAAGGAGGUUUGUGACCUCGAUGUUGGACCAAAAUAACCUAAAGAUGUAGAAGUCUUUAAGGGUUGGUCUGUUCGACCAUUAAAAUUUUACGUGAUCUGAGUUCAGAC
rnacentral:rRNA from 1 species